rnacentral:rRNA from 1 species
AGAGUUUGAUCCUGGCUCAGGGUGAACGCUGGCGGCGUGUCUAAGGCAUGCAAGUCGAGCGGGUUUCGGUCGCAAGAUCGGAAUCAGCGGCAAACGGGUGCGUAACACCUUGGCAACCUACCCCCGAGACGGGCAUAACUUUCCGAAAGGAGAGCUAAUUCCCGAUGAAGUUCGCCAUCUCCUGAUGUGCGAAUAAAACAGCCCGCAAGGGUCGCUUGGGGAGGGGCCUAGGUCCUAUCAGCUAGUUGGUGAGGUAACGGCUCACCAAGGCGAAGACGGGUAGCUGGUCUGAGAGGACGACCAGCCUCAGGGGAACUGAGACACUGUCCCCACACCUACGGGUGGCUGCAGUCAAGAAUCUUCCGCAAUGGACGAAAGUCUGACGGAGCGACGCCGCGUGUCGGAUGAAGCCCUUCGGGGUGUAAACGACUUUUCCCAGGGACGAACUCUGACGGUACCUGGGGAAUAAGGGGCCGCCAAUCUCGUGCCAGCAGCGGCGGUAAUACGAGAGCCCCGAGCGUUACCCGGAUUCACUGGGUGUAAAGCGUCCGAAGGCGGUCCAACGCAUCUCUGGUUAAAUCCUGGGGCUCAACUCCAGGCAUGCCAGGGACAUGGUUGGACUCGAGGCUGGGAGAGGCGAGUGGAACUGCCGGUGUAGUAGUAAAAUGCGUUCAUAUCGGCAGGAACACCAAAGGCGAAGGCAGCUCGCUGGAACAGUUCUGACGCUCAAGGACGAAAGCGUGGGUAGCGAAUGGGAUUAGAUACCCCAGUAGUCCACGCCCUAAACGAUGAGUGCUAGGUGUUGGGAGUAUCGACCCUCCCAGCGCCCAUAUUGAAGCUAACGCGUUAAGCACUCCACCUGGGAAGUACGGCCGCAAGGCUAAAACUCAAAGGAAUAGACGGGGACCCGCACAAGCGGUGGACCAUGUGGUUUAAUUCGACACUAAGCGAGGAACCUCACCUAGGUUUGACAUGCUCCUGCAAGCGCACGGAAACGUGUGACCUUCGAGGGUGGAGCACAGGUGCUGCAUGGCUGUCGUCAGCUCGUGCCGUGAGGUGUUCCGUUCAGUCGGGAAACGAGCGCAACCCUCGUCCUAUGUUUCAAUGACCAUAGGAGACUGCCCCGGCAACGGGGAGGAAGGCGAGGAUGACGUCAAGUCAGCAUGGCCCUUAUGCCUAGGGCGACACACGUGGUACAAUGGCCAGGACAGCGGGAUGCGAAGCCGCGAGGUGGAGCAAAUCCCCAACCCUGGUCUCAGUCCGGAUCGGAGGCUGCAACUCGCCUCCGUGAAGCUGGAAUCGCUAGUAAACGCGUAUCAGCCACGGCGCGUUGAAUACGUUCUCGGGUCUUGUACUCACCGCCCGUCAAGUCAAGCGAGUCGGGAAUUCCUGAAGGCUUCGGAUUCGGGGCCCAAGGAAGGCCUGAUGAGAGGGACUAAGUCGUAACAAGGCAGGGGUAGCGGAAGCUGCUCCUGGAUCACCUCCUUUCUACGGAG